CCAAUAGCGUAUAUUAAAGUUGUUGCAGUUAAAAAGCUCGUAGUUGAAUUUCGGGAUUGGCGCAUCGGUCGUGCCUCACGGGGUAUGAACUGGUGCAGUCAAUUUCUCACCUUCUGGAGAACCGCGAUGUCCUUAAUUGGAUGCCGCGGGGAACCAGGACCUUUACUUUGAAAAAAUUAGAGUGUUUAAAGCAGGCAUUUUUGCUUGAAUCCAUUAGCAUGGAAUAAUAAAAUAGGACGGCAUGGUUCUAUUUUGUUGGUUUCUAGGACCACCGUAAUGAUUAAUAGGGAUAGUUGGGGGCAUUAGUAUUCAAUUGUCAGAGGUGAAAUUCUUGGAUUUAUUGAAGACUAACUACUGCGAAAGCAUUUGCCAAGGAUGUUUUCAUUAAUCAAGAACGAAAGUUAGGGGAUCGAAGACGAUCAGAUACCGUCGUAGUCUUAACCAUAAACUAUGCCGACUAGGAAUCAGACGAUGUUAAUUUUUUAAUGACUCGUUUGGCACCUUACG
rnacentral:rRNA from 1 species